rnacentral:rRNA from 1 species
GACGAACGCUGGCGGCGUGCUUAACACAUGCAAGUCGAGCGGUAAGGCCCUUUGGGGUACACGAGCGGCGAACGGGUGAGUAACACGUGAGUAAUCUGCCUUUGGCUUGGGAAUAACUUCGGGAAAUCGGGGCUAAUGCCUGAUGUUUACUGUCUGCUGCAUGGUGGGUGGUGGAAAGAUUUUUUGGCCAGGGAUGAGCUCGCGGUCUAUCAGCUUGUUGGUGGGGUAAUGGCUACCAAGGCUUUGACGGGUAGCCGGCCUGAGAGGGUGUUCGGCCACACUGGGACUGAGACACGGCCCAGACUCCUACGGGAGGGCAGCAGUGGGGAAUAUUGCGCAAUGGGCGUAAGCCUGACGCAGCGACGCCGCGUGGGGA